rfam:Triticum aestivum genome assembly, contig: Triticum_aestivum_CS42_TGACv1_scaffold_131856_2BL
UUAGUACUCCCUUCGUCCGAAAAUACUUGUCAAAUAAAUGGAUGUAUUUAGAUUUAUUUUAGUUCUAGAUACAUUCACCUUUAUCCAUUUAUGCGACAAGUAAUUCCGGACGGAGGGAGUAUAUA